rnacentral:tRNA from 1 species
GAGGGUAGAGCUCAGUGGUAGAGUGCAAGCUUAGCAUGCACGAGGUCCUGGGUUCAAACCCCAGCACCUCCA